UAGUCCACGCCGUAAACGAUGAGGACCAGGUGUCGGGGAGACCCGGUGCCGGAGCAAACGCAAUGAGUCCUCCGCCUGGGGAGUAUGCGCGCAAGCGUGAAACUCAAAGGAAUUGACGGGGGCCCGCACAAGCGGUGGAGUAUGUGGUUUAAUUCGACGCAACGCGAAGAACCUUACCAGGCCUUGACAUGAGGAUAAAGGCCCCGGAGACGGGGAGAUAGUCAUAUCCUACAC
rnacentral:rRNA from 1 species